rnacentral:misc_RNA from 1 species
AAAGUCGUAACAAGGUUUUCCGUAGGUGAACCCUGCGGAAGGGAUCAUUACCUUUUCACAGUACAGAAGAAUUGUGUAGGGGACUCCCCUCGCUAUCCUUCCUGUAUACCACCCUUGUCUUUGCGCACUCAUGUUUCCUCGGCAGGCAAGCCUGCCGGUUGGACAAAAAUUAUAAACCUUUUUAAUUUUCAAUCAGCGUCUGAAAUAAUUUUAAUAAUUACAA